rnacentral:misc_RNA from 1 species
UACGUAGGUGGCAAACGUUGUCCGGAUUCACUGGGCGUAAAGCGCGCGCAGGCGGAUUGGUCAGUCCGAGGUUAAAGCUCCCGGCUCAACUGGGAGAGGCCCUUGGAUACUGCUAGUCUUGAGGUACCUAGGGGAGAGUGGAAUUCCGGGUGUAGUGGUGGAAUGCGUAGAUAUCCGGAGGAACACCAGUGGCGAAGGCGACUCUCUGGGGGUGACCUGACGCUGAGGCGCGAAAGCAUGGGGAGCAAACCGG